UACGUAGGUGGCAAGCGUUGUCCGGAUUUACUGGGUGUAAAGGGUGCGUAGGCGCCUUGUGGGUCAGGCGUGAAAUACAUGGGCUUAACCCAUGGACUGCGCUUGAAACUAUAAAGGCUUUGAGUGAAGUAGAGGCAGGUGGAAUUCCCGGUGUAGCGGUGAAAUGCGUAGAGAUCGGGGAGGAACACCAGUGGCGAAGGCGGCCUGCUGGGCUUUAACUGACGCUGAGGCACGAAAGCAUGGGUAGCAAACAGG
rnacentral:rRNA from 1 species